AGAGUUUGAUCCUGGCUCAGGAUGAACGCUGGCGGCGUGCUUAACACAUGCAAGUCGAACGAAGCACUUUGAAAGCUUGCUUUCAAAGUGACUGAGUGGCGGACGGGUGAGUAACGCGUGGGUAACCUGCCUUAUACAGGGGGAUAACAGUUGGAAACGACUGCUAAUACCGCAUAAGCGCACAGUGCCGCAUGGUACAGUGUGAAAAACUCCGGUGGUAUAAGAUGGACCCGCGUCUGAUUAGCUAGUUGGUGAGGUAACGGCUCACCAAGGCGACGAUCAGUAGCCGGCUUGAGAGAGUGAUCGGCCACAUUGGGACUGAGACACGGCCCAAACUCCUACGGGAGGCAGCAGUGGGGAAUACUGCACAAUGGGGGAAACCCUGAUGCAGCAACGCCGCGUGAGUGAAGAAGUAUUUCGGUAUGUAAAGCUCUAUCAGCAGGGAAGAUAAUGACGGUACCUGACUAAGAAGCCCCGGCUAACUACGUGCCAGCAGCCGCGGUAAUACGUAGGGGGCAAGCGUUAUCCGGAUUUACUGGGUGUAAAGGGAGCGUAGGCGGCUUGGCAAGUCUGAUGUGAAAGCCCAGGGCUCAACCCUGGGACUGCAUUGGAAACUGUCAGGCUAGAGUGCAGGAGAGGUAAGUGGAAUUCCUAGUGUAGCGGUGAAAUGCGUAGAUAUUAGGAGGAACACCAGUGGCGAAGGCGGCUUACUGGACUGUAACUGACGCUGAGGCUCGAAAGCGUGGGGAGCAAACAGGAUUAGAUACCCUGGUAGUCCACGCUGUAAACGAUGAAUACUAGGUGUCGGGUCCGUCAAGGAUUCGGUGCCGCAGCUAACGCAAUAAGUAUUCCACCUGGGGAGUACGUUCGCAAGAAUGAAACUCAAAUGAAUUGACGG
rnacentral:rRNA from 1 species